CAAGCAGUGGCUUCUUAGAAACCCAACAUUUUGCACAAUCAAACAUGACCAGAACUUCUAAACCUACAUGUUGAGGAUUCACAUUCAAGGAGCAAGAAACAUCGCAGCAACUCAUUGGGAUCGAGCAGUCAGAAUUCAGAAUCAACUGACACACAAGAGCUAGAUUUAGAGCUUAUACUGUCACUGUAAUCAGUAAAUUUUUUUGCCACUUUAAAUGCAUGCUCAUGGAACUACAUUUUAUGCUUUCCUAGAAUUGUAAGUUCAAAUAAGGUGUUGAUCUUGCAAUUCAUACGUACAACUUGAGCAAGUUGAUAUGAACUAGUUUGAAUUUUUUUU